CAAGUGGCUGGUUUGGGAAUCACUGCUAAUAUUGCUUACUCACAAUUAAUAUAAUAAUUUUGACAUUUAUAAUAAAUUAGAGCAACUGCAAUAAAAAAUGAUUAGAAUAGCGAUGGGACACGCAAAGAAGCAUCCAGGGCUCAUCCCCCAGUUCCUUGUCGUCUUGUUGGGAAUAGGAGGAGCCUCUAUGUACUUGUUCCGUCUUGCAAAUGGGCCCCAUGUAAAUUCUAGGGCAUCAAUUUCCAAUUUACUACUAAAGGCCUAUACCACUGUUCUGGAACAAGAAGAACAACCCUGAGCCCUGGAAUCAACUUGACCCUACCUACCAGUACAAGUUUGUGGCCAUAGGCACGGACUACAAGAACCUGAAGAAGGAGGGACCUCAAUUCUGAGAAUCCUUCCUCUUGUCCAAAUGGCACAAGGUCCAGCCCACCUUACUGCAGUCCAUGUAAAAAGCCUUCAGUCAUAUUGUUCCUAUCAGACAUGUGUGUUACUGCUGCUAUGGACGUGUUAAACUGCUGUUGGUAGUGGGAAAAUAAAGCUAACGAAAUGUGAAUGCUGAAGAUCCGUCUAGUGACGCCAGCCUGGCAUGUUGAUUCAAAAUUGUCUUGUUUGAUUUGUUUCAAUAUUUCAAAAAGAGCUGUGAAUUUUGAUGAAGUUAUAUUGUACUGUAUGAGUUAUGGGUUUUUUUGUUACAGGGAAACUGUUAUUCUGUCUGUUUUGAUGUGAGGUGACUGGUUUAGAGAUUGCGUGUGAUGUUUUAAGCCUUUUUGAUGAAAUGUUUUGGGCCAUGCAAAGUGAUGUUAAUUAUAGACGUAGGGCUACUGAUAUUUGCCGCUCUGGAAAGAAUAAAGGUUUGGUUGAAACCCAUGUUAAUGGCGACAUUGUAAAUCUAGCUCCUGACAACCUCCAGUUUGUCAGUUUGUAUGCAUUUAGACUAACUAUUUUGUAUUGGUUUUUACAUUGAAUACUUCUAAUAUGUGGCCUCUGCCAUUUGCAUUCUUAUUGCUUAACUGUAAUAAACCUGAUUACUUUUAAUUUGA